rnacentral:rRNA from 1 species
GUGGGGAAUAUUGGACAAUGGGCGAAAGCCUGAUCCAGCCAUGCCGCGUGAGUGAUGAAGGCCCUAGGGUUGUAAAGCUCUUUCACCGGUGAAGAUAAUGACGGUAACCGGAGAAGAAGCCCCGGCUAACUUCGUGCCAGCAGCCGCGGUAAUACGAAGGGGGCUAGCGUUGUUCGGAAUUACUGGGCGUAAAGCGCACGUAGGCGGACUAUUAAGUCAGGGGUGAAAUCCCGGGGCUCAACCCCGGAACUGCCUUUGAUACUGGUAGUCUCGAGUCCGGAAGAGGUGAGUGGAAUUCCGAGUGUAGAGGUGAAAUUCGUAGAUAUUCGGAGGAACACCAGUGGCGAAGGCGGCUCACUGGUCCGGUACUGACGCUGAGGUGCGAAAGCGUGGGGAGCAAACAGGAUUAGAUACCCUUGUAGUCC